rnacentral:rRNA from 1 species
GAUGAACGCUGGAGGCGUGCCUAAUACAUGCAAGUCGAGCGAACGGACGAGAAGCUUGCUUCUCUGAUGUUAGCGGCGGACGGGUGAGUAACACGUGGAUAACCUACCUAUAAGACUGGGAUAACUUCGGGAAACCGGAGCUAAUACCGGAUAAUAUUUUGAACCGCAUGGUUCAAAAGUGAAAGACGGUCUUGCUGUCACUUAUAGAUGGAUCCGCGCUGCAUUAGCUAGUUGGUAAGGUAACGGCUUACCAAGGCAACGAUGCAUAGCCGACCUGAGAGGGUGAUCGGCCACACUGGAACUGAGACACGGUCCAGACUCCUACGGGAGGCAGCAGUAGGGAAUCUUCCGCAAUGGGCGAAAGCCUGACGGAGCAACGCCGCGUGAGUGAUGAAGGUCUUCGGAUCGUAAAACUCUGUUAUUAGGGAAGAACAUAUGUGUAAGUAACUGUGCACAUCUUGACGGUACCUAAUCAGAAAGCCACGGCUAACUACGUG